rnacentral:rRNA from 1 species
CAGUCGAGCGGACAGAUGGGAGCUUGCUCCCUGAUGUUAGCGGCGGACGGGUGAGUAACACGUGGGUAACCUGCCUGUAAGACUGGGAUAACUCCGGGAAACCGGGGCUAAUACCGGAUGGUUGUUUGAACCGCAUGGUUCAGACAUAAAAGGUGGCUUCGGCUACCACUUACAGAUGGACCCGCGGCGCAUUAGCUAGUUGGUGAGGUAACGGCUCACCAAGGCGACGAUGCGUAGCCGACCUGAGAGGGUGAUCGGCCACACUGGGACUGAGACACGGCCCAGACUCCUACGGGAGGCAGCAGUAGGGAAUCUUCCGCAAUGGACGAAAGUCUGACGGAGCAACGCCGCGUGAGUGAUGAAGGUUUUCGGAUCGUAAAGCUCUGUUGUUAGGGAAGAACAAGUGCCGUUCAAAUAGGGCGGCACCUUGACGGUACCUAACCAGAAAGCCACGGCUAACUACGUGCCAGCAGCCGCGGUAAUACGUAGGUGGCAAGCGUUGUCCGGAAUUAUUGGGCGUAAAGGGCUCGCAGGCGGUUUCUUAAGUCUGAUGUGAAAGCCCCCGGCUCAACCGGGGAGGGUCAUUGGAAACUGGGGAACUUGAGUGCAGAAGAGGAGAGUGGAAUUCCACGUGUAGCGGUGAAAUGCGUAGAGAUGUGGAGGAACACCAGUGGCGAAGGCGACUCUCUGGUCUGUAACUGACGCUGAGGAGCGAAAGCGUGGGGAGCGAACAGGAUUAGAUACCCUGGUAGUCCACGCCGUAAACGAUGAGUGCUAAGUGUUAGGGGGUUUCCGCCCCUUAGUGCUGCAGCUAACGCAUUAAGCACUCCGCCUGGGGAGUACGGUCGCAAGACUGAAACUCAAAGGAAUUGACGGGGG